GCACGCUUCCCAGGGGCGGCUUGGGCGGCGCAUGCGUAUUUGCGUCCUGGGGGGGGCGCGUUGGCGGGGCAGGCGUGGGCCCUUCGGUGGCGAGGUGGGGCCCGCAGUACGCUCUGUCCACGCCCUGGAGGCGCCAGCUCGGGCUGAGCGCCACCUGCUUCUUCCCGCGGGUGCUGCCGCGCCCCACUGCCUGCCAGGGUGUGUCCUCCCCGGGGCCCUGAACCCCAAGCCCGUCUCCUCAGCCCCUGCCGGCGGCGGCGCCGUUGCUGCCAUUCCGGCGAGGCGGUUUUCCGGGGCGAGGCCCCGUGUCGGGCGGCUCGAGGACUGGAAUCUACUAAAUGUCUAAUUGGAAGUGGGGUCUUAAAGACUUCAACUAUUGUUGAGAUGUCAGUUUGUCUCUUUGGUGUACGUUUUUUAAACAACUUCAUUGAGGUAUGAUUUAUAUAUCUCAAAAUCACCCAUUUUGCAUGCUGUCUGAGGGAUGAGCACACUUUUUGGGUGGUCCAAAGGCAAUUUAUGUAACCAAAGCAUUUGUACCCCCAUAAUACUCUGAAAUAAACUAAAAAUAAAAUAAAUAUUUAAAAAUCACCCAUUUUAAUUAUAUACCUCAAUAGUUUUGAGCAAAUUUACAUAAUUGUCAACCAUCACCAGGAUUGUUUUCCAGCUUUGUUGAGAUAUAGUUGACAAAAAUUAUAUAUACUCAAGGUGUAUAAUGUGGUGUUCUGAUAUAUGUAUACAUGUUGAAAUUAUUGCCACAAUAAAGCUUAUUAAUAUAUCCAUCACCUCACAUAGUUACCUUUUGCUUUCUUCCUUUCUUUUGUGUGU